GGUUAUAGUUGCGAGACCACGCCUUAGAAGACCCUGAAGGGCUUCCCUUGUGUGAUUCCCUCCAAGGGUCUCAACCUGUCCGGCACCUGCAAUUCCAUGAUAUCAUUAUCCCUGUGAAUACAACAGCCAGGACAGAUUUUGAGGGCGCGCAAAGAAUUUAGAGGGAUUUAAUAAAGGCUAUAUUCUAAGGAACCAAAUAUUACCAAUAUUAAAGGAGAUCAAGCUAUACAACAUACCUUCAGCUGUGAAAUACUGUUCCUUGAAGCCUUCAGUCCAGAUAUGAUGCCUUUCACUUCCUCGUUGACUAUCAACAGCAAAGUCAUCGCACUCAAGCGAACAGACCACUCCAUAUUUACCAAUUAUAAUAGCAAUGCUUAUAAGUUAUUUUAUAACAGCACGAACUGAAACUGUAAUUAAGAUACUAGUAUGUUGGAUUUAUAAUGUGUUGUGACGAUUAUGUAUUAUAUCAUAUCAGUUGACGAGUGAUGUAACGCGCACCUGCAAAGUUUAUACUCCGCCCACAGGUUGGCAAAAAUAGAUGGGAUUCGUAUAAGCUCCGCCCAUAUAAAGACGGUGAACAUAAUCCUCGAUCUUAAUGAUAAUCAUGCACUAUAUCAAAUAUAAUUAUAAAUUAUGUCUGAAUAAAACAUAAGCUUGCAAGUAAAUGCAUUUUAGUAACGAAUAUACUGUAGUAAUUAUUUGUUAUUAUUACUUUAAACGAACUCGGGAGUAGAAUUCAAUCUAACGGCUCGGUAUAUGUGGUAACCACAAAGAUCUCCUAACUUAAUUAGCACAUCAUUUGAGAUAAAAAAAAAUCUCAGAAAUGCAUAUUCUUUCAGAAUUAAUUUAAUCUAAUAAAAAAUCACUAUUAAUGUUGACAACAAACAACAUAUAU